rnacentral:rRNA from 1 species
UACAGGGGGGGCAAGCGUUGUUCGGAAUUACUGGGCGUAAAGGGCUCGUAGGCGGCCAACUAAGUCCGACGUGAAAUCCCAAGGCUUAACCUUGGAACUGCGUCGGAUACUGGUUGGCUUGAAUUCGGGAGAGGGAUGCAGAAUUCCAGGUGUAGCGGUGAAAUGCGUAGAUAUCUGGAGGAAUACCGGUGGCGAAGGCGGCAUCCUGGACCGACAUUGACGCUGAUGAGCGAAAGCUAGGGGAGCAAACGGG